GCGACGGGGCCAGGAGGGGCGCAGCCGAGCACAGGGGCAGCCGCACGGACGGGGACGGGGCCCUGCCUGGAGACUGUUGAGCAGAACGAGAAACGCCCCCGCCCCCGCGUGCCUCAGCUUCCCUCCCCCUCCGCGCCCGUCCCGAGCCCGGAGGCCAGGAGGAGCCCGCGCGCCCUCAAGCCAGCGGCAGCCCUUGCAAAAGCGACGGCGGCGGCCAGGGGCUUUGCAGACCCGGGGGCUGGACCCUUCUCUGGCCCCGCGCAGUCCAGGAGCUUCCAGCACCUCAGGGUGGCAGCGCUCCGGGUGGCAAGAAGCCAGCCAAGGGACUCCAUUGCCAGCGCUGCCCCGCGCUCGGCCGCUGCCCAGGAGACUUCGAGCUGAGCGCGGGCUUCACCCGCCCUCCAGUCCGCCGGGCUGCUCCUGGCCUUGGUUGCCUCUGGCUGCGGCUGCGGUGCAGGUCCAGGGUCUGCGGGGGCUGUCGCCGCCCCGGUCUCUGCCCCGACAUGGCUGGCGAGCACAGGCUCUUGCUGGACAACGCCCAACAGCUGGUGCUCGUCUGCACCAAAGGCGAGAAGUACCUGCUGCAGGCGGGCAUGCAAGACCUGGCCCUGCUGGACAAUGCCAGCGUGGUGAUCGGCACAGAUGGCUGUGUUAAAGCUGUAGGCCAUGCAGAUGCUAUUCGCCAGCAAUUUUCAGAAGCAUCAUUUGAAAAAAUAAUUGACUGUUCUGGGAAAUGCAUAUUGCCAGGUUUGGUAGAUGCACAUACCCAUCCAGUGUGGGCUGGUGACAGGGUUCAUGAGUUUGCAAUGAAGCUGGCAGGUGCUUCCUACAUGGAUAUUCACCAAGCUGGAGGGGGAAUACAUUUUACUGUGGAACAUACCCAGAAAGCCUCAGAAGAGGAGCUGUUCAAUACUUUCAAACACCGACUGCUGCGUAUGCUCAGAACAGGAACCACUUUGGUUGAAUGCAAGAGUGGAUAUGGUUUAAACCUAGAAACCGAGCUUAAAAUGCUCAGGGUGAUUGAACAGGCUAGACGGUUACUGGAUAGCAACAUUUCCUCUACGUACUGUGGAGCUCAUUCUGUGCCUAAAGGGAAAAAUGCUACUGAAGCCACAGAUGACAUUAUCAGUAACCAUCUCCCUAAACUGAAGGAGCUGAACCUAAAUGGUGAAAUACAUGUUAAUAACAUAGAUGUGUUUUGUGAGAAAGGUGUCUUUGAUCUGAAUUGUACCAGAAGAAUUCUUCAGGCUGGAAAAGGAAUAGGGUUACAGAUUAACUUCCAUGGUGAUGAACUCCAUCCAAUGAAAUCUGCAGAGCUUGGAGCUGAACUAGGAGCCCAGGCUAUAAGUCACCUGGAAGAAAUUAGUGAUGAAGGCAUCGCUGCAAUGGCAAGUGCAAAGUGUGCGGCUGUCCUUUUACCAACCACUGCCUACAUGCUGAGACUGAAGCAACCUCAAGCUAGGAAAAUGUUAAAAGAAGGGGUUAUAGUUGCUCUUGGCAGUGAUUUUAACCCUAAUGCAUACUGUUAUUCAAUGCCCAUGGUAAUGCACUUGGCCUGUGUAAACAUGAAAAUGUCAAUGAAAGAGGCUUUAGCAGCUGCCACCAUUAAUGCAGCUUAUGCUCUUGGAAGAUCCCAUAUGCAUGGCUCUAUAGAGAAUGGCAAACAGGGAGAUCUCAUUAUCAUUAAUUCAUCAAGAUGGGAGCACUUGAUUUACCAGUUUGGGGGACAUCAAGAAUUGAUUGAGUAUGUUAUUGUUAAAGGAAAAGUUAUCUACAAAAACGAAGGAAUUAUGGGCUACUAAGUUCUUACUGAAAGAUGGUGAUAAUUUAGAAGGAUAUUAACAUCAAAAUGAUACUGAUUCAGUUACCCAAGAGCAACAGAGAACUUGGAUUUCUAUUUUACUGCCCAUCCGCCCAUGGACACAUGGUCCUCUGUAGCAGCACUGGUUGAGAGAGAAUCCACAGAAGAGGGGUGGCACAAGGCUUUAUUCUCAGAAACUGCAAAAGUCCAGUGUGAAUAAAUGGUGUACUGUAUGGACAAACAGGAGCUAGAAACAAUGGCUGAGUCUAAAAUGCUGCAAUGAAGGAUCCAGACCCGUCCAUGGGUAUUCACCAUGAAAAUUUCCUCCAGAAAUGGUCUCUCCCCUUUCAGCAAAAACCAUCUUGAAAGACAAGUUAAGGUGUGAACAUGAAUGAAGAAUUACUGAAGUACCACACAUCUCUGAAUAUCCUAUCUGAAAGGAGGAAGACUUGAUGUGCAAAUCCAUAUGCAUAUAUAGUGUAGCUCACACUUCUGCAUGUGCAGUUGUAAGAAAAAAUGUAAAACAAUGCCCCGUUCUCCCACCAUACAGAUACAGCUGAAUAGUGUAUUUUAUUAAAUAGGCUGGACGGUCAGCAGGUGAAGGUUAUAAGGAAUGCAAAGCCACACUUGAGCAUAGUUUCUAGUGUAAUUUUCAAUUGCCGGUGGUGCUCUCACCAGUGGAGGUGAAAUUUUAUAUAUAGUGAGCAAGAUGGGCACUCAUCACUGCUAUCAGCUAACACAGAGGAGCAUCUUUUGUACAUACCUUUAUUCUUAAAAAGUGGAAUUCACCCUUGUUCAGAGCACCAAUACAAGGCGUAUGCACAGAGCUUCCCAAAAUGAGCUCAUACAGCUCUUAAAAGUGGUGCAUAGCUCUUGUAGUUACCCUCUGUAGAACUCAAAGUGCAUUCUAGAAUGCAAGUUUUGCCAACUUUGUGUCAACUUACAAGUCACUGUCAACCUUCAAGUCCAAUUGGCGGCCAAAGUUCCCAGCUGCCCUUAUAACCAUGUAGGCCUUGAUCCAGCAAAGCACUUAAAUGUGUGCUUAACUUUAAGCAAGAGCAGUCCACUGACUAAGCACAUACGUAAGUGAUUUGAUGGAUCAGGGCCAUAAUUUCUGCUUCAUUAGCUAAUAAUCAUUUAGAAGGGAAAAAGUAACCAACCAAGAUUUUACUGAGAAACUGAAUCAUCAAAAAGAUACAGGAUUGUCCGUUGCACUGUUAAUUUCAGUCAUGAUUAUGUCCUUUACAAAAGCUAUUGUGUCAUUCGCCACGCCGUGGACCUAAAAGAAACAAUAGCAAUUAGCCACAGGUCAUGUCUAUUUGUAGUUCAUCCUCAAGAUAUAGAUCCAGCCAAUUCUACUUUCUGAGAGCACACUUCUGCCUUGCCCCCACUCCCAGACUUGGCACUCACUCACAGGGAUACAGACUUUGAUUUGAUGUGAUAACCAGGGAAAUUGCUAUUGUGAAAUGCUAGAUAUACUGUACUUAUUAAAGAUUUGACUUACUAUUAUUAUGACAUUAUAAUAUGAUGAUGACAACAUAAAUGUAUAAUUCUUUGUGUGUUUGGGUUGGCAUCCCCUUGUCCCUCAGCCACAUGUACAACCUCUAUCUGAUCAAGAAAGUACUCAAAGCUUAGCUAAUUUGUCAAUGUACAUUAGGAAUUAUUAAGGAAUUAUUAGUAAACUUGGGAAAGCCCAGCUCUUUAGUUUUUACAUAGGCAAAGCUCCCGCCAAUUUCAAUAGUUUUGCUUGUGUUAAUAUGGAUUGAGUUUAUCGAGAGUUAAAAAUCAUUCCUGUGUACAAGGUCCAGGAACUACUUAUGUCUCAAUUAAGCCCUAUUUGAGCUGAGUGGGAAAUAAUGUAAUUGCAUUAUUUUAAAGGAGACAACCAACAUUUAACUGACAUUACACUAGGAUUGGGAUUUCACUGCCACUAGCCUAUCCCUGUAUGAGGGAGUGGGAAACUCAUUUUACCUGAGGGCAACAGCGCAGCGUAUAUGCAUCCUGAACUCUGUCACAAAAUCUGUGACUCUCUGCAAAACAAAAGAAAGAUUCUUAUAGAAAAGGCCACACGUCACUGUUUUAAUUCCCUGUCUGUCCUGGAAAUCAAAUAGGUGACUUGCAUGGCAGGAAGCAAAGAUGUUUCACCUGCUAUUUCUGAUGGAUGAUGGUCAGAGUCUAAAAGUGACCUAAAUCGGAAUGCCACUUCAAUCUGCCCCCGAUGGGCACGCACUGCAUGAAUAUCUGUUAAAACAAAUGAAAGAGCAUUACACUUUUGCUUUUCCCUCUCCAAAAGCUAAGAGAAAGUGAACACAGAAAAUUCAGUACCAACCAGUGUCAAAGGCUUUAGUU